UACGGGGGGAGCAAGCGUUGUUCGGAUUUACUGGGCGUAAAGGGCGCGUAGGCGGCCAGCACAAGUCAGUUGUGAAAUCUCCGAGCUUAACUCGGAAAGGUCAACUGAUACUGUGCGGCUAGAGUGCGGAAGGGGCAACUGGAAUUCUUGGUGUAGCGGUGAAAUGCGUAGAUAUCAAGAGGAGCACCUGCGGCGAAGGCGGGUUGCUGGGCCGACACUGACGCUGAUGCGCGAAAGCCAGGGGAGCGAACGGG
rnacentral:rRNA from 1 species